CACUCACAAGGCGGAAGUGACCUCUGCCAACUUCGAAAACAACUGAAAUAAAUGGAAACCUUUUUGGUACCUUUUUGGUUCCAGGCAACAGGGCAGGUGCUUGAGCCUAGCAUCUAUGUGUGCACAUGUCUAACUUAAUACCUGUUUGAAGAGUUACAUGUCCCAAGUUUUGUUGUUGUUUUUUGUUUGAGUUAGCUAGCGUUGGUUUAGGGUUAUCAAACCGAUGUCUUCCCAAAGCUUUGCUAGCGUAGUGAGAUCAACCUGAAAGAUUGAGACUCUCCAAAGCUGGUCCAACAAGACCUUCGACCACCGUGAGCCGGUUCACUGCCAUACUCAGCCACUGGAGGUAGACCAACUGAGAAAAGAAAAGGCCUUGCCUUGAGCCAAAGAAGCUGUGUGAGGGAUGACAGAGGCGAAAGGUCAGAAAUGCGGUUGUUGGACACGUCCAUGAACCGAAGGUGAAUGUAAUUGCUGAUCGCAG